rnacentral:rRNA from 1 species
GACGAACGCUGGCGGCGUGCCUAAUACAUGCAAGUCGAACGCAGUGGGGACGGGUGAGUAACACGUGGGUAACCUCCCAUCAGAGGGGAAAACCCUUGGAAACAGUUGCUAAACCGAUACUGAUGGAUGGACCCGCGGUGCAUGAGCUAGUUGGUGAGGUAAAGGCUCACCAAGGCCACGAUGCAUAGCCGACCCGAGAGGGUGAGCGGUCACACGGUGACUGAGACAAGGCCUAGACGCCGACGGGAGGCAGCAGUAGGAAUUCUGCGGCAAUGGACGAAAGUCUGACCGAGCAAAGCCGCGUGAGCGAAGAAGGUUUUCGGAGCGUAAAACUCUGUUGUUAGAGAAGCGGUAUCUAACCAGAAAGCCACGGCUAACUACGUGCCAGCAGCCGCGGUAAUUC